GAUGAACGCUGGCGGCGUGCCUAAUACAUGCAAGUCGAGCGAACGGACGAGAAGCUUGCUUCUCUGAUGUUAGCGGCGGACGGGUGAGUAACACGUGGAUAACCUACCUAUAAGACUGGGAUAACUUCGGGAAACCGGAGCUAAUACCGGAUGAUAUUUUGAACCGCAUGGUUCAAAAGUGAAAGACGGUCUUGCUGUCACUUAUAGAUGGAUCCGCGCUGCAUUAGCUAGUUGGUAAGGUAACGGCUUACCAAGGCAACGAUGCAUAGCCGACCUGAGAGGGUGAUCGGCCACACUGGAACUGAGACACGGUCCAGACUCCUACGGGAGGCAGCAGUAGGGAAUCUUCCGCAAUGGGCGAAAGCCUGACGGAGCAACGCCGCGUGAGUGAUGAAGGUCUUCGGAUCGUAAAACUCUGUUAUUAGGGAGGAACAUAUGUGUAAGUAACUGUGCACAUCUUGACGGUACCUACUCAGAAAGCCACGGCUAACUACGUG
rnacentral:rRNA from 1 species